UACCUCCCAGGAUCAUGUCUAGAAAGUAGCUAAUGUUCUGACAGCUUUGGUUAUAGGAGGGAAAGUAAGCCUGGGAGAAGUACCCAUUCCAUUCCCCACAUUCCCCAUAGCUGGUGAUUGGAAGACACUCUGCAAUAAUG